rnacentral:misc_RNA from 1 species
ACGAGUUUUUGAAACGGGUUGUUGCUGGCCCCCUGGGGGCAUGUGCACACCCACCAUCCUCAUCUCUCCCCCUGUGCACCUCUUGUAGACUUGGGAUAAAACUUUCCGAGGCAACUCGGUCUGGAGGAAUGCUACCCCAAGCUUUCCUUGUAUUUAUUUCCUGGUCUACGUUUUUCAUAUACCCCAUAGUAUGUAACAGAAUGUAUCGUUUGGGCGCUUGUGCCUAUAAACCUUAUA